UUGAAAGGGAAACGAUUGAAGUCAGUCGUACCGGCGGGUAAUCAGCCUUUUGGGUGUGAUUAUGUGGAGCGUGAGGAGUUAAACACCCUCAUCUUUGCAUAUUCGUGCACUUUGGGUGUACUUGCUCGUGUGGUAGGUUAACAUCAAUUUUGAUCAUCAUAAAAUGAUUGAAGGAAUGUAGCUUCGAUCUCGUAUUGAAGUGUUAUAGCCUUUGGUAGAUGUGAUGAUCGGGAUUGAGGAUUGCAACGGAUACCCUUCGGGGCUACCCGUCUGAUCUCUGAAAGUUGCUCUGGUGCUGAAAGCUUGCUUAUGGUAUCAAAGUUGACGUUCAAUAGGUUAGAACGGGAUAAAUUCGUUAAGGAUGUUGACGUA
rnacentral:rRNA from 1 species